GCAGUCGCCGCGGUAAUACGAAGGGUGCAAGCGUUACUCGGAAUUACUGGGCGUAAAGCGUGCGUAGGUGGUGGUUUAAGUCCGUUGUGAAAGCCCUGGGCUCAACCUGGGAAUUGCAGUGGAUACUGGGUCACUAGAGUGUGGUAGAGGAUAGUGGAAUUUCCGGUGUAGCAGUGAAAUGCGUAGAGAUCGGAAGGAACAUCUGUGGCGAAGGCGACUAUCUGGGCCAACACUGACACUGAGGCACGAAAGCGUGGGGAGCAAACGGGAUUAGAUACCCCAGUAGUCCCUGUCUCUUAUAC
rnacentral:rRNA from 1 species